rnacentral:tRNA from 1 species
GCAUAGAGGAGCAGAACUGUUUGGGUUUCUGGACACGUCCACACCGGCGGGCCUGUGACGGGGACCAAUGACAGAUAUGUGCAGCUUCCCUCCGAAGCGGUGAGAAAAUGUGGUGCGGGACUGACUGGCAGACUGAUUACUUGCACAUAUCUGAGAGUCGUCUCUGCUAGUUGGCUUGUCUCAGGCCCCUCAAGCAAAAGUAAAGUCAGUGUUUGGCAUAAACUGCUCGGUGGUGGAUUGACUCAUUGUAUAGCUAAAGUGCAUCCAGAUAGCGCCGGGUUUUUUUCUCUCUGGAAUUGGUUCAAUAUCGUAUAGCUGCAGCAAACUACACUGCUGCUGCAGAGCUCGAGUUUUUCUAUAACUGAAAUUCAGUCUGGACAUCAGUAAGGCCUAUUUAAUUGGAUUACCCCAAGUUCACGGCAACAGGUGCUGAAAUCAGAGAGAGACUUUCAUCCAUAAGCAACUGCCUUAAGGAGGAGGAGAAACAGAGAGAAAGAAGAGUCGGAAGAGAAGGAGAGUGGGAGUGGGUGGAAGGAGAGGAAAGAAUGGAGCAGUGAGUGGUGAACCAGGGAGCAGGUGAACCCAGUAGUGGAUGGCCAUAGGCUCUCUGGCUCUUCUCUGCUCCGUGCAGGGGUCUCAGGGAGCCGGCUGGGGCCAGCCAGGCAACGGCGGAGUGGGCAGGCGAGUCGAGGCGAGGGGAGGCAAGGCAGGCUCUCAUCCCCGCUGGCAAGUUGCUCCUCGGCAGUGCGGAGUAGCAAAUCAAUAUGGAGGAGAGAGGCUAGCAGGGGUUGCCCAGCACUGCCCCUGGCCCUAGAGCCCAGGGACCCAGCGCUGCCAGCCCUCUCUUUCCUCUCCCAGUCCCAGCCAACCCGCACUGUGUGUGUGUGUGUAUUUGAGUGAGUAUGUGUAUAUGUGGGUGUAUGUGUGUGUCUAUUUGAGUGUGUGUGUGUGUGUGUGUGUGUGUGUGUGUGUGUGUGUGUGUGUGUGUGUGUGUGUGUGUGUGUGUGUGUGUGUGUGUGUGUGUGUGUGUGUGUGUGUGUGUGUGUGUGUGUGUGUGUGUGUGUGUGUGUGUGUGUGUGUGUGUGUGUGUUUGAGCACGUCUGUGUGUGUGGUUCCGCCGGAGGGGCUUUCCUGGCUCAAGACCACUUGAUAUAACUUUGCCUGUGAGCGAGAGAGCGAAGGAGAGAGAGAAUAAAAAAUGGACGUCAAAGGUCUUUUUCUCCUAUUUUUCCCUCUGAUUACUCGUUUCACCUGACUGUUUGAAUGAGAGUUCAGUGAAAAGGCCUCUUCCAUUGAAUUGAACAGGCGUCUCUCGUCAAUCCCCCUCCAGUCAUGUAGUGUACAGCCACCAUGCUCUCCACAUCUGAUGAACCAGGAUAAAAGGCCAAUUUGAACUACAGAUUCAGAUUAAAUGUUGUAUUUUCUGCCUCCCAUUUUCUUCCUCAUGACUCAGGUUACUAUCAGAGGAUAUGGCAGAGGUUAUUGAUCUAAAUGGAGCUGGUCUUAGUACGGUACCUUUCAUUGUCUGUGGUGGUUACAUGCUGUAGUAGUAACUGAUAACUUCACUAUACAACUGAACUAUAUUCAGGAGUGAAGGAGUCCUAAUUGAGUGAAAGAUGAAAAAGACUGUGGACAUAUUGUAUAGUGCCUGAACAGUGGCCCUCUCCACCAGUUCUAUUUUUCCUUUUAUAGUUGAAGAAUCCACACAAGAAGCCCUAUCUUUAGAUACUCAAAAAACUACCAAAAAAUCCAAUGGAAUGAAAAUAACUCAAUCAUUGCUGAAUGGAAAGCCUGAGAUGCAAAAUGCAGAAUUGUAUUUUUUCAUUGGGGAAGAAAAGGAUUGUCCAUAUCUGCUGGGCUGGAGAAGACAAAAGGGUCAGAGCUAGUUUGUGCCUGAAACAGGAACAGCUGCACAGAGAGAAAUCUACAAACAACACAAUGGGGCAGACUUCACUUGGUAAGUAGGCCUCCAGCUAUACUGUUCUAUUGUUGGAGCCUUUUACACAGAUGUGACAUGUCAUGUGACGAUAGCUGGGUAUACAUUAAAAUGCUAUGUGAAAGGAAUAUUCAUCAUCUUAGACAAAGACAGACAGUCCCUACUGACUAAUAUACAGUAUACAGUGCAACGCAACACAGACUAUUCUCCUAUGUUUUUGCUGCUUGCCUUUUUUUUUUUGUCAUUUUUUAGCAGACGCUCUUAUCCAGAGCGACUUACAGUAGUGAAUGCAUACAUUCCAUACAUUAUUAUUUAUUUUUUCGUACUGGCCCCCUGUGGGAAUCGAACCCACAACCCUGGCGUUGUAAACACCAUGCUGGCAUUGCAAACACCAUGCUCUACCAACUGAGCCACAGGGAAGCCUUCAUCAAACAUAAUGCCCAGAAUGAUGUCAUUGAAUGGUGCAGUAGUUGCGUUGCUCACAGUCGAGUAUUAUUAAGAUUCCCGCGCCAAUCUGCUGGCACAGAGAGACAGGCGCCACACUGUGUCAGCCUGGCAGUGCCUUGACGCGUGCCUACAAAAUGGCUUCCCCGUCUGCCAGCUGUUUGCUCUGCCAAGAUGGCGACUGCGGACAACUUUUAACGGCCACCAUCUGCUUAAUCACAAAGGGGUUAUGCAAAUAGCCCCUAAUUGCAUUUGCAUAUAUGCUUGAUUCUUAACCCCCCUGACUUGUUCUCCUAAAUAACUAACACUAAGGGUGUUAGGAGAAACUAUGCAUGUUGCAGAGGGAAUGAAAGCACUCAGGAGAAUUACAGAACUAAUGUUUCUCAUUGUUGUGCCUCCUCUCUUUCUUUCUCUUUCAUUUCCUCCCAUCGUGUUUUUAUGUGAGGCGUUGAUAGCAUUACUGUUGCCUCUUUUGAUAUGAGUGAAAUAUGGGGCGGCUGCUCUGUCUGUCUGCUCUGUCUGUCUGCCUGUCUCAUUGGGCCAUAUGUGACAUCUGUUAGGUAGCCUCCUAACACACUGUUAAAUCCUCACACUGGCCCACCCCUGCCUGACCGGUCAAACUCCAGACAACCACCAAAUAAUGACAUCAUUAACAUGCACAGCACUCCCCGCUAUAGGGCCUGGUGUGCUGCUGCGUCGUGGGACCCAACAGUGUACAUCCUUCACACAGUGCUCAAUUCCCCCACACAAUGCGGCUGCUUCAAACUCAUUUUAUUACGCCUUGUCAAAGCACUGGGGAUCAGGGGUAUCAGGAGGGAAACAGCGGGCGGCGCGCUAAACGUGGAUUAGGCAAUAUAUUUGUGCUUUCUGGUCUUAAAGUGGUGUUAGUGGGGAUGGAUGUACUGUCACCCUGGUGUUUAUACUGGACAGUUACACUGUUACAAUCUCAGCGUUUUCACAGACAUUUUCACCUGUCAAUGGUAAUUACUGCACUGAGCCCUCUGAAUUAUCUGUGUCCCGGAAAUAGGAUAUCAUCCACUCUGAAGCCCUUUGAUGUGUUUCUGUCUGUCUGUCUGUCUGUCUGUCUGUCUGUCUGUCUGUCUGUCUGUCUGUCUGUCUGUCUGUGUGUGUGUGUAUGUGUGACAGUGUGUGUGAAAUAUGUUUGACAAUCCAGAGUGAGAGCAGAGAGCAUCCAUUGUUGAUCCUAUAGAAUAACACUAGAUACUGUACAGUACUAUACUGUAGAACUAAGGCAAGCAAGAUGGAGGAUACAAUUCAUUUAGUGAAAUCCCUGUAAAUUCAUGUUCAUUAAUAUUGCCAUGUCAUUGUGGUAGCACCUUGAAAAUGUAUUAUGUUGUUUACUCAGAGGUGUUUUGGUGGUUUGUCGCCUGGUUGUCAUAUUACAGUUAGUGAGCGACAUAGUACCCAUCGAGGGAGAGUGACUUGAGCUAGCCUCGCCUCGCUAGGCUACAUGCGCGUUUACUUAUUCAAUGCAGGGUGUCUCGUCCCCCUAUCUCCCUCUCUAUCAGGUCAGUUUAAUCAAGCUGCCUUUCUAAUCAGCGCAGACUCUGUGAGGAGGGGGACGUCAUGGAGGAGAGUGCUUAGCGGUUAGCUUUGCCCACGCUACCCUGUUAGCACGCUAAAAUGCUAGGCUACUGUAUCCUGUCUCCUUUGUGGAUAAAAUGGCAGCCAGAUCCAUGGCGUUGUCCUGUGUAGCAGAGAGUUGGCAGGCUAUGGGGGAUGGGGUCUGACGGGAGGGGGUGGGUCUAAGGAGGUUUUGGGGGUUACCAUGUUGGGGGUGGGGGGAUAGGGACAGUAAGAGGGAGAGAAUAGUGUGUCUAGGUCAGUAGGUGUGUGUGCUGGUGCGCCAUUUGCAUAUUCAGAACAGCUGGGUAGCCUAUAUGUUUUCAGCAGCGCCAGACUAAAAUGACAUACAGACAUACACGCAAGCCCCCCCCUAUGGACCCCCCCCACCCUCAACACACACACACACCACUCCAAAUCAACUGCCAUUUGGGCUCGAAUAUGGACAUUCACGCUUUUACUUGAAAACACAAAAACACCCGUACCUCCUAGCUAUGCACCCUCUACCUCUAGCCCCUAAAACAGAAAGGGGUUUUGUUCUUUAAGAUGUGUGUAAGUACGCCACUCCAAUUACGCAUAAUUCAACACAAAGAGAGGUGGGAGGGAGGCUGGGCACAGCACUUCCUGCUAGAGCUGGAGCUGGGACAGGCAGAACAGGAAUGCAGUGUGUGUAUGUGUGUGUGGACUGUGAGGUGCCAGAGUUGAAGGAGCACACACCUCUAUCAGCAAACAUACAGCCAUAUAGCCCCCCCACCUUCCACUACUCACUGUCCUUACAGAUAGACGAAAACUAGUGUUACACACACACACACACACACACACACACACACACACACACACACACACACACACACACUACACAUUCACACACUACCAUUCACUUCUUAUUUGGCUUUGUCAUCUUACUGCCAAGAUGUGGCAAUUCAGAACCCAAAAUGAGGUGGCAAUUCAGAACCCAAAAUGAGGUUGGCAGCACCAGUUUUAGUUAUGUUUUGUAUUUAAUCAAGGUAUGGAUUGAGUGAGGUGGUUUAAUGCUAGCUUUGUAUCUUGAUGUUGCUAAUUCCCCAGAAUAAGUAUACAUUAAAUACAAAAUUGUCUCCCCAUACAUUUUAGAAAAAUACUUUUUUUAGUAGAUGGGAAUUGGAUUGGAUUCAUUAAUUCCGUCGUCAUAUCCGGCAGAAGAAGUAUGAAGAUAUUUUGUUGGCAAAGCAUACUGUCACCUCAAAAACAAAAUAUAUACAAUAUCUAUAGGACAAACCGCUUCUGCCACAGAACUAGAAUCCUUCUAUUUCUAGUGUUCAUGGUGUUGACAGAUGACUAGCUUCUGUAGGGUAUUUCCUGUGGACCACUUCGAGGUGUUAGUGGUGGUGGUGUUAGGGGGCAUGUUGUUCGUUAGUGUGUGACUGCAGCCUCGUCUCAUGAAGCUUCCCUCACUGUGAGUGCCCACAGCUUUUAUUUGCUUAGAUAUUGAUUGAAUGUGGUCCGCCCACAGAAGUAAUAGUUGCUGAAAGCAUUUACAGCCAGUGCCCCAACCUCCCGGACCUGCUUAGCAUUUCCUUGGUUUUGUGUUCCAACAAAUAACUGGUGCAUGCUUUUACAUUGCCCUACUUUCUAAUUAUAAUCAAAGAUCAUUCAUAUUCGUGUUAAGUUUUUAAAAAUAUCAAUGUGGAAAUGGGAUAAAUAUGUUGUUUUUUCAUGCUUUCAUCCCAAACAUUUGGAAAGACACAUCUGUGCUGAAUUGCGAUAGGUAAUGGUAUAUUUUAUAAAAGCAGAAAUAAAAGCAUACAUUCAGUAGGUUGUCACUUGUAAGUUAACUAGGUUAGUUUCAUGUUAUUAUUAUUAUGUGAAUAAGAAGCUGCUCUUGCAAGGUAGUGUUUACAUGUGAUUUAUUAGUUAUUUUCUUCCUUUUGAGACAUACUGAGUUUCUUAAUUUCUGUUGUAGUUAUCUGAAUGUUUAUUCUAAGCAUGAUAAUGAUCUGAUAUUUUGUAGUGUUUUUGUGAUCAUGUACUUGACGGAGCUAUUGUAUCAUUGAUAUGGCACAUUUAUUAACUCAAAAUAAAAUGGCCUGCAUUUGUAAUUGCGGAGUCCUCAGCCAUUAGUGACGGACGGACAGCCUCUGUAAGAACAGACUCUUAAACAGCACUGCUGCUUUAAAAUGUCAAAUCCUACAAAUGAUCAAUGUAGACAUAACUCCUCAGCCAUCGGAGAAGCUAGUGAACAACUUCCUUAAGAAGAGUUUCUUUAGUAACGCUCCAAUACAGAGAGCUGGUUGGCUGCUGAUUACAGACAGCAGAGGGAAAACAGUCAGGCAUUUAUCCAAGUCACUGAUUAUGUCAUUUCAAAGGGCCCAAACACUCAGCUACACAGACAGCUCUGAGGGCCGAAUUAUGAAGCGGGAGUAGGGAGUGGAAUGGCUGGAAAAUGAAAGGGAAAUGAAAAUGGAGUGCUGAAUGUGUGAUUAAACCUCCGGCUUGGCUGGCAGAGGCCAAGCUCAAGUACAGGCCUGAGAUUUGGACCAUAAUGAAAAUGUGAGGGGCUGAGGAGGUGGUCUGAACCCUGCAACACAGCACACACUGAUCAGCACCAAACAAAAACAUACACACACACACACACACACACACACACACACACACACACACACACACACACACACACACACACACACACACACACACACACACACACACACACACACACACACACACACACUCACACACACACACACACACUCACACACACACUCACAUACAAACACUGAUCAGGACCGAACACACACCUUACAGCCCAGCAUGUUGCUUAACUCGUAACAUUAGCCCCAGCAUCAGCACAAAGCUUCACUUAACACACACUAUACACCAACUCCCCUGUCUAUGCUUUUUUCUACAAAAAAUGGAGAGAAAAAUCAACCAACAGCUGAAAUAACUGCUACAUCUGAAAGGGUAAUAAUUGUGGGGUGAUUAAAGGGGGAAAUCUACAACCAACGGGAAGAAUAGUGUGAAAGAAAGGAAAGAAGAAACAGGCUAAAACAGAAGGCAAAUAGAAAGCACAUGUUUGAUGAUUGAGCUGUAUCAUCAGACAUCAGAAGCAGCCAGUCACAAUUCACCACACAAAAAUGAUAUUUGACCAUUCAGUCUCAGAGCAACCCCAAAAGAGGGGGAUGGUAACCAAGCGUGGGAACGGGGGGAAAAUUAUGGGGGGAUCCAGUCAGGCAAAUGGCUAGACAGCCCAGCUGCACUGACUUCCAUUCAGGAGCAGGUGAAGAAGGACCCUAAGGGUCAAGGUCAGAGGGGGGAUGUCGUCUGCUGUGCAGCCUGGCCUGUCUGGGUGCUGCCUCAAAUGUGUUUGCUUAUUUUAUAAGCUGCUACUUAUUGCCUCCCAGAGACCCCCUCCUCCAGACCUCCACCUCCCCCAGUCUGGUAGAGACAGAGACAGGCUAUGUUCCCUUGGGCUCGCCGUCUCGGUCUAUGUGGCUUGUCCCUACUGAGGUUAGUCAUGAUGCUGACUGCACAUUAGGAUGUGGCUCAGACUUUUUGUCAUAGAUGCUUUUGCAUACAGUAAGCAGACAUAUACAUGGAUGUAUGCUUUAAUGAAAUGUACUUAGAAACAAUUUGAUUUUAAAGUAGGUGGUAUUGUAAAAGUAAUUUUUAUUCCGUUGUAUGGACCUAUUUUUUACAAAUUAUUUUGGGAACCUAUUUAUUUUUUAUAUUUCCUUAAAAAUAUAAAAUAAUAAUGUAUUAUUAUAAAAUAAUAAUUAUUAUAAAAUAAUAAUAUAUUAUGCCAUGUUGGUAAGACAAUCUGCAUUGAAUAUCACUUUGGAAUUUGAGACAUAUUAGAUUUUUUAAAGCACUAUAUCACUGAUAAAUGGUUUAAAUAAAUAACCUUUAUUAGAAAUGUUCAGAUACCUUAUCAUUGCCAUGUUACGGUAUUUGGUGUGCUGAACCAUGCAUACACACAGUACAGUAUCACUACCCUUCAGCAGUGUAAACAAUGAUAUCCCUUUAAGAGGAGGGACUUUGGUGGUAGAUUCCAUUAUUCACAAUGGCUUCUGCUUCAUUAGCCGGGCUGACAGAGAGCCCUUCUCCCCAUCACUACCUCAAUAGACCUAUCCCCCUGUCCUCUCCUCUGGAGGAACCGUACCCCCUCCUCUCCUCCCCUAUCCUCUCCUCCUCUCCCGAACCUAAUCGUCUCAACUCAUGCUGAAAUAAAGCUUAGUAACAGCAUGUUUGUGAGCCCCUCUCUCUCGUCACCCCACCACCGCAAAGCUCUCCUUCUCCCGUCAUUCUCUCACCUUGGUCCGCCACCCACCCACUGCUUAAAUCCCUAUCAGCAUGUCAACAAAAUGUCUGCUCAGCUGGGGUUGACACACACACGGGUACACAUUUAGCUUUGUCCUUGCUGACCCCUUUCUCUCCACACUCUCUCUCCCCCCCCUCUCUCUGUCCCCUCACUCUCUCUCUCACCCCCCCUCUCUCACUGUCCCCUCACUCUCUCUUUCUCUCUCUCUCUUUCUGUCUUUCUUUCCCCCUCUCUU